CAACAACUGGUUGGCAGCGGUGGGAUGGACUUCGCCGAGCCGUAACUUCUUGCUUGGAACUCCGGUACUUCCCGAUAACGUCGCCUGGACGUCGUUCGGAUCUCCCGGCGAGCCAUCCGUCAUUUUCCGGCAGGGCAGUUUUACCACUGCACACAACGUUCUUGCGAAGGAAUGCAACUUCUGGAGGUCACUUUUCGAGACACGGUGUCGACAAGGGGACCGGACGAAAACGACGUAGUCCGCUUGUGUGUCGGUUGUUACAGUAAACGUGAAUGCUCGUUGCCUGCAUAGAAGGGCCUUGACAAUAAAUGUCGACGUUCCCGUU